rnacentral:rRNA from 1 species
AUGAACGCUAGCGGCAGGCUUAACACAUGCAAGUCGAGGGGCAGCAUGAAUGUAGCAAUACAUUUGAUGGCGACCGGCGCACGGGUGCGUAACGCGUAUGCAACCUACCUAUAACAGGGGGAUAAUCCGAAGAAAUUUGGUCUAAUACCCCAUAAUAUCUGAGAAGGCAUCUUUUGAAGUUGAAAGUUCAGGCGGUUAUGGAUGGGCAUGCGUUGUAUUAGCUAGGUGGUGAGGUAACGGCUCACCAUGGCUACGAUACAUAGGGGGACUGAGAGGUUAACCCCCCACACUGGUACUGAGACACGGACCAGACUCCUACGGGAGGCAGCAGUGAGGAAUAUUGGUCAAUGGACGCAAGUCUGAACCAGCCAUGCCGCGUGCAGGAAGACGGCUCUAUGAGUUGUAAACUGCUUUUGUACAAGGGUAAACCCUGGGACGCGUCCCAGGCUGAAAGUACUGUACGAAUAAGGAUCGGCUAACUCCGUG